AACAGGAUUAGAUACCCUGGUAGUCCACGCCGUAAACGAUGUCGACUUGGAGGUUGUUCCCUUGAGGAGUGGCUUCCGGAGCUAACGCGUUAAGUCGACCGCCUGGGGAGUACGGCCGCAAGGUUAAAACUCAAAUGAAUUGACGGGGGCCCGCACAAGCGGUGGAGCAUGUGGUUUAAUUCGAUGCAACGCGAAGAACCUUACCUACUCUUGACAUCCAGCGAACUUAGCAGAGAUGCUUUGGUGCCUUCGGGAACGCUGAGACAGGUGCUGCAUGGCUGUCGUCAGCUCGUGUUGUGAAAUGUUGGGUUAAGUCCCGCAACGAGCGCAACCCUUAUCCUUUGUUGCCAGCGAUUCGGUCGGGAACUCAAAGGAGACUGCCGGUGAUAAACCGGAGGAAGGUGGGGAUGACGUCAAGUCAUCAUGGCCCUUACGAGUAGGGCUACACACGUGCUACAAUGGCGCAUACAAAGAGAAGCGACCUCGCGAGAGCAAGCGGACCUCACAAAGUGCGUCGUAGUCCGGAUCGGAGUCUGCAACUCGACUCCGUGAAGUCGGAAUCGCUAGUAAUCGUGGAUCAGAAUGCCACGGUGAAUACGUUCCCGGGCCUUGUACACACCGCCCGUCACACCAUGGGAGUGGGUUGCAGAAGAAGUAGGUAGCUUAACCUUCGGGAGGGCGCUUACCACUUUGUGAUUCAUGACUGGGGUGAAGUCGUAACAAGGUAACC
rnacentral:rRNA from 1 species